CGUCGGGUUCCCCGCGACGAUUAACCGUGAACCCCGUCAGACCCGGAAGGGAGCAGCGGCAGCGGUGAUACCGGGUGCUGGGGAAGAGCCGGCGCGG
rnacentral:SRP_RNA from 1 species